AUAAAUUUUCAAGACACAUUUAUAUAAAAUCAUAUAAAAGUGAUAUUAUAUAUAAGAAUUACACAAAAUAUAAGAAUUAUGCGCAAUCGCAGGGCUAUUUGCUAAUAGGCCAGGGCCGUGGAUCCAAAUUAAUGGGCUCAGCUAAAUUAAGUUCAGCCCAGCCCAAUUGAAAUUGAAAUCGAAUCCGUAACUGCUGAAUUGGGACUGAACCCCGAGAUCAGACACACGGCAGUUUAUUCUCCUACCUUUUUGUUCGUGUGAUUUUUCUUCGAAGCUUUGCUAUUCCCAUUCGGUAGUCAGUAGAAAUGAGAAGGAAAUUUGAUAGAAUAAGCAGCGUAGUUUUUCUCUCGCUGAAUGCUGCUUGGGAUCAUGCAAUUGAUGCUAUCAGUUCAUAACCUAAUAAUCAGAUGGAAUCGAUGAGAAGUUGAAGAAAUUUGAUCGGGAGCAAAUAUCCACAGAUUGAACAAUCCUGCAUGUCAAAAUCAUUAUCAGGUUAUGUGUGGAAUCCUAUUGAACUUAAAGUGAAAUUCAAUUCCCUCAAACAAUUCUUAAUUUAAGACGUGAUCUGAAACAAAGUAAAUACAUCAAUUUGAAUUCAUGACAUGAAUAUUUGGUAGGGAAAAAGAAGAUGCCCUGUGCAGGAUCUGGAUAUUGCAAAACCUCCCAAAGAGUAGCUAGGAAUUUGAAAAACAACAGAAGUUCUGAGAAAAUCUGAUUUCUGGGUGAGCUUCGCUUGGUCAUUUAUGCUGUACCUCAACUGACUGCCUUGGAUUUUAAAU
rnacentral:lncRNA from 1 species